rnacentral:rRNA from 1 species
GACAGAGGAGCCAAGCGUUGUCCGGACUGACUGGGCGUAAAGCGCCCGCAGGCGGCCGUGCACGUGGGGUGUGAAAGCGCUCGGCUUAACUGAGCGAGGCCAUCCCAUACGGCGCGGCUCGAGCCGUCCAGAGGCCGGUGGAAUUGCCGGUGUAGUGGUGAAAUGCGUAGAGAUCGGCAGGAACACCCAGGGGGGAAACCAGCCGGCUGGGGGACGUGCUGACGCUCAGGGGCGAAAGCGUGGGGGAGCGAACCGG